rnacentral:lncRNA from 1 species
GUGACCAAGGCGCUCCAGUUAGUGUCCUACUGUCCUUGAGCAUAAUGUGAGUUUUCUUACUGUCCUCUUGAGUUCUUAUCUUCGAAGCUUGAAUUGUAUGUAUUCUAAAAGACCUCAAGCAUUGACAAAAGCAAGUAUAUGUUAGCCCUUUAAAGAUAUUAGAAUGAUUUUUCAUGUUCUAGUUUUGUUUUCCUGGCUAGAAAAAACAUUGUUGCAACUGGUGAAGAACUCUCUCAGCAUAUGCAGACUCAAAAAUGUUGUAUUUGCAUAUCUGUUGGGUUCAACAUUCGAAUUUGAUGGCUAGGUUAGUUACAUAGGUCAUUCUCAGAAUGUUGCAUUCAUAUUUAGUUUUAUGGUUGCCAUUUAUUUGACAUCAGUCUCUCUAUUGUGACACUAAUGGGCUUGGAGUUUCUUGAGUUGUCAUGAAUUUUCUUUAUCAGUCAAUAAGGUAGUAGUAGGUAAUACUGAUAUUAAGCACAAUCUUCAUGACUCAGCCGCUUAGUACAUGCUUUUGAGUGUUUAUUCUGAAUCCAAAUGAUCUUUCUCAAGUUCAAACAAUAUUUAUGCCGAUUUCCUGACGUCAUUUGUUUAGAUCAUUGUCUUGAUGUUUUUGUUGUAGUUAUCUUAAAAUGUGUUCAUGUAAAUCUUUCGAAUUGCCAUUUCAAAGGGGAUGGUUAUCUGUAUUAAUUGGCUGAUAUCUCCUUCGUCUGAGCUCUACAUAUGAUGCAAAUGAUGGAUCCACAACUUUAGGACCCAAGACCUAACUAUGACUCCCACUGCAUCUAUCGACACCGGUCAAACCAUCUCUCUUCAUCUUCUCCUCUUUAGCCUUUCGACAAAACACAACCCACGAGUUAACUUCCAUGGCCACGCAGACACCAACCAGCGUCGACAGACAUAGACAGUAACCGAGCUUUGCGUACGACCUUCCUUCCCUUAAAACCUCAAACCCUUGGAACACAUUCACCACGCCCAUCACCACACACGCGUACCCGACAAAAUGAUGGUAAGACUUCCAGUACCUCCGGAACUUAUUGGUCGUCUUUGGUCUGAACAGCAAAGCCAGUGUUUGCAGCGCCGCUGCUGUGAAAGUAGCUAUCCCGAGGCUCCGAUGUAACCCAUAGGUCACUCCAGGGGAAUUAUGGCCGAGCACGAUUCCAAUGGAGAAGCCAAUGGUUCCUAGGAGGAAACCGGUUAGCUGUAUUGCUGCGUGGAUGUAGA